CCUUCCUCCUCUGUUCCCUGUGUCCCCCGCGUCCCCCUCCUUCACUCUCCUUCACCCUCCGUCCCCCUCUCCCUUACGGCGCAGGGAGCCGAAAAUGGGUCCCUGCCUGGGGCGGAACGAGCUGCACCUGCACCGGACUCCCGUGCCUGCUGUGGAACUGCAAGCUGCGCGGGCCGGCUUGCUUAAGGUUUAAAAGGUGAAGAAUUGUGUGUGGAAGAAAUCGUGAUGAUGGCCCAGACCAGAUGGAGAAGAGAAGGCAACAAUGCAAAUUAGAGAAGACGUCAUUGGAAUAGCAUUACACUAUGGAGAAGUUCAGCCGCUGGUCACAUUAAGCGGUUUCUAUGGAUGUCAAGACGUGCUGUUGCAUAUGCGGCUGGGAAGUGGUUAAACCGAGUCUACGAGUGGGUUGAUUACUCCUCACCUAAGCAGCUCUCAACAUGCUUUGAAGACAGAAACAGAACCGAUAACCCACUUACCUCAUAGUAGCCCCUGUCAAAGAAGUGGUUGCGGAAGCAGUGGACGACGGCUGAGCGAACCUUGAAGAUCUUGGACAUGUUCUCGCCUCUGAUCAUCAU